rnacentral:antisense_RNA from 1 species
ACAUUCACCACCCCAUGACGCGGCGCCGGGUCGCCGCCGCAGAUUCGACACAAAACCCGGAAGGACCCAGCCGAAGGUUUUCUCCGGUUCGGGCAAGAGACGGGGUCCCGCUCUGUCACCCAGGCUGCCAGACUGGCGUACAGUGGUGCAAUCUCAGCUCACUGCAACCUGCACCUCCUGGGUUCAAGUGAUUUUCUUGUCUCUGCCUCCUGAGUAGCUGGGAUUACUGGCACACACCACCAUGCACUGUUCCUUGUUCAAAAUGCCAAGAACCUGGAUGACUCAGAGUCAAGACCCUCCACCAGUAACAUAUAUUGGCGAGCCAGCCAGGAGCUUGGAACCCUCGGUGGACAGUGCCUAAGCACAGAGGCAACCACAGGUUUCUAACCAGGGCCACUCUCCGGUGAAACUGAAAGGUUUCUGUGUGAAAGUGCCUGACCACCACUGCCCGGUUCGGACCACUACAGGAAACACUCCAUUUAUUCCACCUGAAUUCCCACUUGGCUGCAUCCUCAACCAUUGAAAUGAAUUUGACCCUGAUAAUCUAAGGAGGAAACAUUUGAUAUUCUUUUGCAAUAAUACUUGGCCCCAGUAUUGUUUGGAAUCUGGAGUUUGCUGUUGAAUGGGAAAGUGGGAUGACGUUGC